GCUUGCUGCUGAUGGAUGCAGAGCACUAUGAACAGUCCGAGUCUGUGCGACAGUUUUUAGACUUGGACUUCUACAUCAUCACCCUCGUGCUGGUCCUUCAAGUUGUGCUGAAGAACAUCACCUUUGGCUUAGUGAGGUUCCUGAAAGUCGGAUGGAACGUUCUGGACAUAUUUAUUGUCCUGAUUUCUAUCAUCAGCAUAGUUUUAACUCAGCUCAAAUUCUCCAACAACAUCCCAUCAAAU